GGUUAAGCGACUAAGCGUACACGGUGGAUGCCCUGGCAGUCAGAGGCGAUGAAGGACGUGCUAAUCUGCGAUAAGCGUCGGUAAGGUGAUAUGAACCGUUAUAACCGGCGAUUUCCGAAUGGGGAAACCCAGUGUGAUUCGUCACACUAUCAUUAACUGAAU
rnacentral:rRNA from 1 species